GAUGAACGCUGGCGGCGUGCUUAACACAUGCAAGUCGAACGAUGAAGCCCAGCUUGCUGGGUGGAUUAGUGGCGAACGGGUGAGUAACACGUGAGUAACCUGCCCUUAACUCUGGGAUAAGCCUGGGAAACUGGGUCUAAUACCGGAUAGGAGCGUCCACCGCAUGGUGGGUGUUGGAAAGAUUUAUCGGUUUUGGAUGGACUCGCGGCCUAUCAGCUUGUUGGUGAGGUAAUGGCUCACCAAGGCCACGACGGGUAGCCGGCCUGAGAGGGUGACCGGCCACACUGGGACUGAGACACGGCCCAGACUCCUACGGGAGGCAGCAGUGGGGAAUAUUGCACAAUGGGGGCAAGCCUGAUGCAGCGACGCCGCGUGAGGGAAGACGGCCUUCGGGUUGUAAACCUCUUUCAGUAGGGAAGAAGCGAAAGUGACGGUACCUGCAGAAGAAGCACCGGCUAACUACGUG
rnacentral:rRNA from 1 species